rnacentral:rRNA from 1 species
GCGGAGGAAAAGAAACCAACAGGGAUUGCCUCAGUAACGGCGAGUGAAGCGGCAAAAGCUCAAAUUUUAAAGCUGGCACCUUCGGUGUCCGCGUUGUAAUUUUGUGAGGCAUCUCCGGGCAGGGCGCCGGCCUAAGUUCCUUGGAACAGGACGUCACAGAGGGUGAGAAUCCCGUGCUUGGCUGGCUGUCCCCGUCCACGUGAGGUGUCUUCGACGAGUCGAGUUGUUUGGGAAUGCAGCUCAAAAUGGGUGGUAAAUUUCAUCUAAAGCUAAAUAUUGGUGGGAGACCGAUAGCGCACAAGUAGAGUGAUCGAAAGAUGAAAAGCACUUUGAAAAUAGAGUUAAAAAGUACGUGAAAUUGUUGAAAGGGAAGCGCUUGAGACCAGACUUCGGUAGGGGGUGAUCAGCCGUCCUUCUGGGCGGUGCACUUGCCCCCCUCCGGGCCAGCAUCGGUUGGGGCGGCGGGAUAAAGGUCCCGGGAAUGUGGCUCCUCUCGGGGAGUGUUAUAGCCCGGGUGAAUGCCGCCAGCCUCGACCGAGGACCGCGCCCGCAAGGGUCAGGAUGCUUGGCAUAAUGGUCUUCAGCGACCCGUCU